UUAGUUUCCUGCCUCUCCUCCUGGGUAAUCUUACCAUCGCCUAGCUCUCAAGAUUUUAAUGUGUAGGUAUAAUGGGAUGUCCACAGUGAGGGCGUCUGUCAGGGGUGCCAUACAGCACAUCAGGUCUUCUCCAGUCCUGCUAACUCUACAUUGGCGAUACCUGUGAGCUUGUUAGAAAUGCUAGGUAUCCACCCCUAGGCCAGAUUUGCUAAACUUGACUCUCUGAGGGUGGGGUUCAGGGGUCUGCAUUUAACAAACUCCUCCAGGUGAUCUUGAUGCUCAGUAAGUUUGAAAAGCUCAGUGCUAGACCAGAGCUACUGAGUGCGUGGUGAUCUGGUGGCCCAUUCUCUUCCGCUGUCUGGGCACUGUGUCUGGUUUGUGAAGAGGUCUGGAGAGAAAUGGAAGAUCCCAGAAGGGUCAAGCUGGACCUUCAGUGUCUCCUUGAAUAGCCCCAUCACCCUCCAAGCCACAUACACACCAAGUAUACCGAUGGAGAAUGAAAAGAGAAGAAUAUUCUUUACCUCAUUUAUUUUGGAGUGUAUACUCUGUACUAAGCACUAUGCUGGCCACUGGAAUGAUUGACAGAUGAGAUCUUUUGAUGUCAUAGAAGGAGGAGCUCUCUGUGUGGAGGAAUGUUUCCAGGGUGAAAAGACCCCAGCAAGGCCCAGACAUUCAAGUCUGAAUGACCUUCCUUCUCUGUAGCUGCCAUUUGGCAGCCUUCAACCCGAUGGGCUGGCCGUCCUGGGUUUGCCUCUGGGCCUGUCAUUUGUCGUGUUGUUGGACUGCUGAUGGGCUGUCACUGCUUACCCCUUAAGCCUGCACUUUCCUCUUCUGAUUUUGGCUGCCACUAGAAGCUUGCACCUGACUGACAUAGACUGCUGCUGAUUACCAACAGGCUGCAGUGCAUGGCAACUUCCUUAAGUGUUUACUGAGCCCUACAGUGGAGGUGAACAAUUGGAAUGAAGAAUAUCAAGGAUUCCUGAAAGAAAAUCAAUUUUGAAUGAACUUUUCUUGCUUAGCCACAGCUUCAAUAUUCUGAGUCAUACUGUAUUUUUGUGGACUUCCAUUGAAUUAAGGGGUAGAAAUGGCAGUGGGGAGGAAAGUGAAUUUCAUGAUAUGCAUUUAACCUGUGGCACUGCACAAAAUAAUUCUUCACGUACGAUUACAAGGUAGAAAAAUACUCAAUCUUCCUCAAAUAUAUUAAUCUUAGGGAUGGAGAAAUCUCAUAGGGGCAUAAGACAUUUUUAAUAAAGACUUUAGCAGUCCUUCAAAAACAGUUGUAUCAUAAAAGUAAUAAUCAUUUACAAGUAACUCUACCAGGAGGUCAGAGCCCUUUUCAGAUCAUGCCAUUCAACCAGCUUCCUAAAUGGGAGGUUGUCCGGGAUGUUCAUUGCUAUCUUUAGCAAUCCUGUGGUUUGCAACUAGAAUAUCUAACAGUAUUCCUUUUGCCUCAUCCAAAUAGGUCAUACACACACACACACACACACACACACAUAUCCACAUAUAUAAAAUCAUUUUUGUGAUCUUUAUAUUUUUUUAAAUUGUAAGUGCCUGCUGAAGAGAG